ACGACUCUCGGCAACGGAUAUCUUGGCUCUCGCAUCGAUGAAGAACGUAGCGAAAUGCGAUACCUGGUGUGAAUUGCAGAAUCCCGCGAACCAUCGAGUCUUUGAACGUAAGUUGCGCCCGAGGCCACUCGGCCGAGGGCACGCCUGCCUGGGCGUCACGC
rnacentral:rRNA from 1 species